AUGAGGGGCUUGGGAUCGAGGCUAACUGUUUCUCAGCAAACAGUUUGUUCUAACGACGACCUUUCCCUAAUAAAUAAUAUAUGCAGUUAGUUUCACGGGCGAUCUUUACCGACUUACUAUUCUGUCUUGAUAUAAUUAUGGCUAGAGGAAAAGCCAGGGUGAUUGUGACCAGACUGGUGAGUGCAGCUGGAACUGGAUUCUUCUACACCAUCAAGAAACCAAGAAUCAAGGAUCGCAUGACGUUACGGAAAUACGACCCUGUUGUUCGACAACAUGUGUUAUUUGUCGAGCAAAAGAAAAAAUGACAGUCAAAUUAAUUAUUAUUGUAAACUUAUUAUUUAUGUCUUGAUUCAUCCCAUCCUUUCACUCAAAUUUAUUAACGUGAAAUGAA